rnacentral:rRNA from 1 species
GACGAACGCUGGCGGCGUGCUUAACACAUGCAAGUCGAACGGAAAGGCCCUGCUUGCAGGGUCCUCGAGUGGCGAACGGGUGAGUAACACGUGGGUGAUCUGCCCUUCACUUCGGGAUAAGCCUGGGAAACUGGGUCUAAUACCGGAUAGGAGCCAUUUUUAGUGUGAUGGUUGGAAAGUUUUUUCGGUGUAGGAUGAGCUCGCGGCCUAUCAGCUUGUUGGUGGGGUAAUGGCCUACCAAGGCGGCGACGGGUAGCCGGCCUGAGAGGGUGGACGGCCACAUUGGGACUGAGAUACGGCCCAGACUCCUACGGGAGGCAGCAGUGGGGAAUAUUGCACAAUGGGCGCAAGACUGAUGCAGCGACGCCGCGUGGGGGAUGACGGCCUUCGGGUUGUAAACUCCGUUCGCUAGGGACGAAGCUUUUUGUGACGGUACCUAGAUAAGAAGCACCGGCUAACUACGUG